UACCCUCAGAUUAUACUUCAUUCCAUAUAUUAAGGGGAAAAUCGUCUUGUUAUAUUGGUAAACCUAACAGAACAAGAUUAAAAAAUAACAGAACAAGAUUAAAAAAUAACAAAACAAAGAAAAGUGUGAUUGAUAUAUGUCUUCGUAAAAGAAACAUUUUCAUUGCAGUCGUGCAGAUUAAAUAUAUUAUUAUUUAUUGUACUGUGUUCUCGGUUUUUCAUUGGCCAAGAGCCUACAAAUAAUUUUGGGUAUUUGUAGGUGCCAGCGCUAUUUCCAGCGGAAACAGUAAUCUGCAGAGGUUAUUGGACGGCGCCCGAGAUAUUUCAGCGGUAUUUUAUGUGAAAAUACAAAUUGGUGGGAAAUUUUUAGUUGAGCGGCUAUUUCAAUUGUUUACAAUGGCUAGUGCUCGUUUCGCAACGUUUUCAACGCAGGAAAUUGAAAAAAUCGUCGAAAACAAGGACUCAGAGAACACCAAAAAAGUACUAAACUGGCAAGAGAGGUUUUCAAUAUUUAUAUUUACGAAAAGUUAAUCAAUUCAAUGAAUAUCUAUUUGUUUUCAA